rnacentral:rRNA from 1 species
UGGGGAAUCUUGCACAAUGGGGGAAACCCUGAUGCAGCGACGCCGCGUGAACGAUGAAGCCCUUCGGGGUGUAAAGUUCUUUCGACAGGAACGAUAAUGACGGUACCUGGAGAAGAAGCUGCGGCUAACUACGUGCCAGCAGCCGCGGUAAUACGUAGGCAGCGAGCGUUGUUCGGAGUUACUGGGCGUAAAGAGUGCGUAGGCGGCGAGCCAAGUUUGGUGUGAAAUCUCCCGGCUUAACCGGGAGGGUGCGCCGAAAACUGGUUGGCUGGAGUAUGGGAGAGGAAAGCGGAAUUCCUGGUGUAGCGGUGAAAUGCGUAGAUAUCAGGAGGAACACCUGCGGUGUAGACAGCUUCCUGGACCAAAACUGACGCUGAGGCACGAAAGCGUGGGUAGCAAACA